rnacentral:rRNA from 1 species
AGGACGAACGCUGGCGGCACGCUUAACACAUGCAAGUCGAACGGAGAGCUUUGGUUACUAGAAGCUCUUAGUGGCGGACGGGUGAGUAACACGUGAGCAACCUGCCUUUGAGAGAGGGAUAGCUUCUGGAAACGGAUGGUAAUACCUCAUAACGUAGCUGAAAGACAUCUUUUAGUUACCAAAGAUUUAUCGCUACAAAGAUGGGCUCGCGUCUGAUUAGGUAGUUGGUGAGGUAACGGCCCACCAAGCCGACGAUCAGUAGCCGGACUGAGAGGUUGAACGGCCACAUUGGGACUGAGACACCGGCCCAGACUCCUACGGGAGGCAGCAGGUGGGGAAUAUUGCACAAGUGGGGGGAACCCUGAAUGCAGCGAUGCCGCGUGGAGGAAGAAGGUUUUCGGAUUGUAAACUCCUGUCUUAAAGGACGAUAAUGACGGUACUUUAGGAGGAAGCUCCGGCUAACUACGUGCCAGCAGCCGC